UGUCACUAGGCAUAGCUACCAGGUAACUCGGGGGAGUGGAAGGCCAAAAGUGCCGAUGAAGCUCUUCUGCUCUGGGUCUGUGAGCCACAGUGACUCCAUCUUGUGAACUCUCACCUACUUCUGUGCUAACUGCUGACAUGCUGAAGCGGAAAUGGAAGGGUCAGCUUUUCUAGCAGGCACCUGCUGUAAACUGGCCUUGCAAGGCCAAGAGAUAAGCAGACGAAUGGGAACUUUUCUAAUUGUAACUGCUAGAGAAGGGAGGGGUGGGAGGGGUAAGAGGGAGGAACAGAACAAAGGCUUACACAGAAACUGCUUGGAAUAUAAAAGGGAAAAAUUUAUUUGUAUUUGUUGCACUUGAUUUGAGACAUGCUGGUCUCCUAGUGCCAUUUCAGAGCUCUGAAAUAAACUUGGCUUGCUUUCUCCCCUCGGUGUCUUUAUUGGUGCCAAGCACACCGGGCAACGAACCCCUGUUUGCCAUCUCGGGGCCCAGUUCUGGGCAGGCAACAGUUUUGGCGCCCAACGUGGGGCUCGAGGCUGAAAUUUAGCCUUGCGCGGAUCCCUCCUGGCGGCCGACAGAUUACAGCGACGACCGACGCCCAGCGCGCACCGGUGACUUCAUCGGGGGCCUCGGCGGAGACGUGGUUUGCUCUACCCCGGAGGGCACAACGGUGCAACGCACUCAGACAGUGGAGAAGCAGCUGCGGGUGAUGGUGGGGAACCGGUCCCGUGGAUAGGGCGACGCUGCAGAACCAGACCCUUGGAUAAGGCUCUGGCCAGAGACUUGGAGGAGUGGGAUAAUGAAGACAAAGCCCUCCUUCUGCAAUAUAUAAAUGAUUUGCUAAUUGCUGCUGUGGGUCUAACCCCCUGUCUUAGAGCUACUGUGAGUCUCCUGAACUUUGUUGGACUCCGAGGAUACAGGGUAGUGGACUGUGGGCUAAACCUCUGUAUGCAUGUGUUAAGGGAGCGGAUCAUGACCCCUUUCACUGGUCCCCAGAAGCGGACAGGGCAUUUCAGUUACUAGGUGCCUGGAAACGUCCUGUGGCAUACCUCUCUAAGCAACUGGAUCAAGUUUCAAAGGGAUGGCCAGCCUGUUUGAGGGCGGUCGCAGUCACUGCCCUAGUGCUUGGGGAAGCUGAAAAACUGACACUGGGAGGAACUGUGCAAGUGUAUAUACCCCAUAUGGUUCAAGCCUUGCUGGACACUAAGGGUGGUCUUUGGCUCACACAGGCUCGGGUUGCUCGGUACCAAGCGAAGCUGUUAGAGAAUCCUGAAGUCACCCUGCAAACCUGUCCCUCCCUUAAUCCAGCUACCCUGUUACCAGAGACAGAAAAGCAGGAACAUGACUGUCUGGAAAUCAUAGAUGCCCACUACUCUAGCCACCCAGAUUUGAAGGAUCAGCCACUCCCAAAUGCUGAUUUGGAAUGGUAUACGGAUGGCAGUAGUACUGUGGUGGAUGGGCAAAGGAGGGCGAGUUAUGCUAUUGUGACACUUCAUGAUACCGUGGAAGCUGAGAGUUUACCGGCUGGGACAUCUGCCCAACUUGCUGAACUAGUGGCCCUGACUCGUGCACUCGAGCUGGCAAAAGACAAACGGGUUAAUAUCUUUACUGACUCAAAGUAUGCUUUUGGGGUAUUGCAUGCUCAUGCUGGUCUGUGGAAGCAAAGGGGAAUGCGAACAGCCCAAGGCUCUCCGGUUAACCAUGGGUCUCAAAUUCUCCGGCUGUUAGAAGUGGUACACCUCCCCUCAGCAGUAGCAGUGGUACAUUCCAAAGCCCAUCAAAGGGAAGAUCAAAAUGUACCAAGGGCAAUGCCAGAGCAGACAGGGAAGCCAAGCGUGCUGCUACCCUGAAAUCACCAACUGAGGAGAAUGCCCAAAUGCAUGCCCUUAUCCCAUCAGUGGGUGAGCUUGCAGCCCCUCAGUACUCCCAUGAUGACAGAAACCUGGCUGACAGUCUCAGUCUCCAGGAAAGGAGGGAUGGCUUUAUUCCACAGAGGGAAGAAUCCUCCUGCCCAAGGGCUUGAUUCGACCAGUGUUGCAGAAACUGCAUCAAACCACACACGCAGGCAGAGAGGCUCUUACCCAGAUUAUGAAUAAAUAUUUUCUAACCUCUGGACUUAAACCCCUAGCAACACAGGUACAGGCUGAAUGUUUAAUCUGCCAAAAGAAUAACCCUCGACCAGGAGUAGCAGUGCCACCAGCCACCCUGGAACCUACCCCAGGCCCAGGAUUGGUGUGGCUAAUAGACUUUACUGAGUUUCCCAGGACCCAAGGGUACAGGUACCUCCUCGUCUUGGUGGAUGGAUUCAGUGGAUGCCUGAGGCCUUCCCAUGUCGUAACAACACUGCCAAGACAGUGGCUCUUAAGUUUGUGAAGGAGAUCAUUCCUCGCUUCGGCCUCCCCCUGUGGAUGGAAUCUGACAAUGGAACACACUUCACAUCUCAAGUGGUUCAAAAGAUAUCAAGUGCUCUGCAAAUUCCCUGGAAUCUCCACACACCAUGACGACCACAAGCCAGUGGAGUAGUGGAACGCACAAAUCAGACACUCAAGCGACACCUCUCAAAGGUCUGUCAGGAGGCCUCUCUUAAGUGGCCUGAUGCUUUGCCCCUUGUGUUACUCUCUCCCCAAGGGUAGGUUAGGGCUUAGUCCCUUCGAGAUUAUGUUUGGAAGGGCAUGGCCUUUGAAUGGUACACCGGUUCUGGCAGGGGAGUGGGAGAUGGGGUAUGGUUUCUUGUCUCAGUACAUGUGCUCUCUGUCUGCUGUUCUUUCUUUUCUUCACAGAUACAUCAAAGAUUCACAGCCUCUUCUGCUGGAUACCCCUGGUCCACUCCUUCCAGCCUGGUGACUCCGUUCUCAUGCGGAUCUGGAAGGACAAGCCUCUCCAAGAGAAGUGGAAGGGACCCCACAUUGUCCUGCUUGUUUCCCACACAGCGGCAAAAGUCGAAGGACACAAGAACUGGAUUCAUCACUCUCGACUGAAAGCAGUACCCGUUCCUGAACAGUGGACUGUCCAGCCUGCUGAGAAGACUGCUAACGACGAUUUGGGACUUAAGCUGUUAUUGAAAAGACAGUAAGGGUCACUGGAAAUGCCUCGUGAUCUCUCAGAACAGCCACAGCGCAUACUCCCCGAGAGAACCCUGAGCAUUGGUUUUAUCUAUACCUGGUUUGCAGGCAUUAGUAAGUGUAGAUUUUAUAUUGGUCCUGGUAUAAGUCUCACUGUUCCUUUACUAAAUGCCACCGGUUGGCAAACCGGCGCUGCAUUCUUUGCUCUUUCACACAAGCCACCCUACGGGACCUACAAGACAACAAUGGAAAGGCUAGUUAUGGUGAAGCAUUCUGGGUUUGUGGUAAUAGUGCCUAUAAAUGGCUCCCUCAUGGUUGGCAUGGUAACUGUUACAAAGGCUAUCUCGCUCCUCCCAUCCGUGUUCUCACCAAGGCUCCCUCAGGUCGCCCUAGGUACUAUCGGUCCCUGAGAGCUACCAUUGAACCCAUUGGAGAAGGAGACAGGUUUGGGAUGAUAUCCCUCCCUACCUAUGGGGUGGGACGGCUAACCCAACUCUACAGAAGACUGUCUAAAUUUCUCACUCAGUUUGCCAAUGAUACCCUGGCCAUAGAGAAACGCAUAAGUUCUGAGCUGUACCAGCUUCGACUGCUGGCUUUGCAGAACCGCCAGGCCCUAGAUUAUGUGUUAGCUUUAUGAGGCGGGGUAUGUGCCCUUAUUGGAGAAGAAUGUUGUACCUAUGUCCCAGAGUUUUCACAGGAUAUUAACAAGCAUAUCUUGUCAGCCAAACAGGCCUUGAAUCAGUGGAAGGCCCAGGACGGGGAACACACUAUUUUGGAUUUCCUUUGGGGUUGGUUAUCUGGUCUAAGGGGACUAGGGGGAAGCAUUGUUCGCACCUUGCUCACAGGUGUGGUGGUAUGUUUUGUCCUUUUCUUUUGCUCAUUUGCUGUAAAGUGCUCAUAUGUAAGAUUUGUACCUCCCCCUUCCCAGAGGUCCCUUUAUAUUCUCUCAUUGAUAAUCCUGAAUGCAUGGAGCUUAAUUGCAUUUUGGUUUUAGAGUAUGAGAAAACUCUAACAAAGGUUUGUUGAGUGUUCUCAAAGGAGGGAUUGUUGGUGUCACUAGGCAUAGCUACCAGGUAACUCGGGGGACUGGAAGGCCAAAAGUGCCGAUGAAGCUCUUCUGCUCUGGGUCUGUGAGCCACAGUGACUCCAUCUUGUGAACUCUCACCUACUUCUGUGCUAACUGCUGACAUGCUGAAGCAGAAAUGGAAGGGUCAGCUUUUCUAGCAGGCAGCUGCUGUAAACAGGCCUUGCAAGGCCAAGAGAUAAGCAGACGAAUGGGAACUUUUCUAAUUGUAACUGCUAGAGAAGGGAGGGGUGGGAGGGGUAAGAGGGAGUAACAGAACAAAGGCUUACACAGAAACUGCUUGGAAUAUAAAAGGGGAUAUUUUAUUUGUAUUUGUUGCACUGGAUUUGAGACAUGCUGGUCUCCUAAUGCCAUUUCAGAGCUCUGAAAUAAACUUGGCUUGCUUUCUC